CCUACGGGUGGCAGCAGUGGGGAAUAUUGGGCAAUGGGCGCAAGCCUGACCCAGCAACGCCGCGUGAAGGAAGAAGGCUCUCGGGUUUUUAACCUCUUUUAUCAGGGACGCAGCAAGUGACGGUACCUGAUGAAUAAGCCACGGCUAACUACGUGCCAGCAGCCGCGGUAAUACGUAGGUGUCAAGCGUUAUCCGGAUUUAACGGGUGUAAAGGGCGUGUAGGCGGGUAAGCAAGUCAGAUGUGAAAACCAUGGGCUCAACCUGUGGCCUGCCUUUGAAACUGGUUUUCUUGAGUACUGGAGAGGCAGACGGAAUUCCUGGUGUAGCGGUGAAAUGCGUAGAUAUCAGGCGGAACACCAGUGGCGAAGGCGGUUUGCUGGACAGCAACUGACGCUGAGGCACGAAAGCGUGGGGAGCGAACAGGAUUAGAUACCCGGGUAGUC
rnacentral:rRNA from 1 species